GGGGAAUAUUGGACAAUGGGCGAAAGCCUGAUCCAGCCAUGCCGCGUGUGUGAAGAAGGUCUUCGGAUUGUAAAGCACUUUAAGUUGGGAGGAAGGGCUGCAAGUUAAUACCUUGUAGUUUUGACGUUACCAGCAGAAUAAGCACCGGCUAACUUCGUGCCAGCAGCCGCGGUAAUACGAAGGGUGCAAGCGUUAAUCGGAAUUACUGGGCGUAAAGCGCGCGUAGGCGGUCUGUCAAGUCGGAUGUGAAAUCCCCGGGCUCAACCUGGGAACUGCAUUCGAAACUGGCAGGCUUGAGUCUCGUAGAGGGGGGUAGAAUUCCAGGUGUAGCGGUGAAAUGCGUAGAGAUCUGGAGGAAUACCGGUGGCGAAGGCGGCCCCCUGGACGAAGACUGACGCUCAGGUGCGAAAGCGUGGGGAGCAAACA
rnacentral:rRNA from 1 species